rnacentral:rRNA from 1 species
GAGUUUGAUCCUGGCUCAGGACGAACGCUGGCGGCGUGCUUAACACAUGCAAGUCGAGCGGAAAGGCUUCCUUCGGGAAGUACUCGAGCGGCGAACGGGUGAGUAACACGUGGAUAAUCAACCUCUUGCUCUGGAAUACCCCGGGGAAACUCGGAUCAAUGCCAGAUAAAGUGCGGUGCUGUUGGGUGCCGUACCAAAGAUAGCUUCGGCCUUCGGCGAGAGACGAGUCCGCGGCCCAUUAGCUAGUUGGCGGGGUAAUGGCCCACCAAGGCUACGAUGGGUAGCUGGUCUGAGAGGAUGAUCAGCCACACUGGGACUGAGACACGGCCCAGACUCCUACGGGAGGCAGCAGUGGGGAAUCUUGCGCAAUGGGCGAAAGCCUUACGCAGCAACGCCGCGUGCGGGAGGAAGGCCUCGGUU